rnacentral:rRNA from 1 species
AUUUUUGACAAGAAAUUUUUUUAAACGGCUGCAAUUAAUAAUUGUGCUAAGGUAGCGUAAUCAUUUGCCCUCUAAUUAGGGGAAGGUAUGAAUGGUUUGACGUGGGAAAAACUGUCUCUUCUGCAUAUGAAGAAGUUUAUUUUUGAGUGAAAAAGCUUAGAUGGUUUUAAAAGACGAGAAGACCCUAUCGAACUUGAAUUAGGUAUUUAAAUUUUUUAAGUAUUGAAAGUUUAGUUGGGGAAACUUAAAGUAAAAAAAAACGCUUUAUUUUUUUGUAAAGAUCCUGUAUUAUGGAAAAACGAAAAAGUUACCGUAGGGAUAACAGCGCUUUCUUCUCUGAGAGGACUAAUUAAAGAGUUGGUUGCGACCUCGAUGUUGGAUUAAAA